GAAGACUAAAUCGAGCUGGGGCCGAACAGAAGAACUCCUACGUUCAUGGCAGACAGAGGAAAAUGCGAGGGAGAGAGAUGGGAAGCCACGACGCCAUGGAAGCAGGCAGAGGGCAAGCAGGGACAGAGGACCGCGUGAGCUCUGAACUUGGAGCACCGCGACCAUGGGCGAGGGAGGAGCUCGGCCGGGAGCGAGCUGAGGGAGAGAUAGAGGAGAUGCGCGCCACGGGAGCUUCGAGCAGAGGACGGCAGCGCGCGACACAGGGAUCUGGAAAGGAGCAAAGAGAGCUGGGGCGACUGCGGCACCCAGGGGAGCCAGAGGUGACGCGCGAGCACCAUGGGAGGAGCCUGCGUGCGGAAAAGAAGCUUGGCUGGGCGAGCAGCAAAGCGCCGAGCAGAGAGGAGCUCCGCCCAGGGAUGGAGCAAGGAACCGGGUGCGGCCAUGGAACUGGAGACGCGCGCGCAGGGAGAGAAAUAGGGGAUCCGGGCUGGGGGCUUGGCCGGGACGCGACUCCCAUGGGCGAGCGGCGAGCCAGAGAGAAGUCGAGAAGGAGCUGGGCGACGGUGCGGCAAGCUCCACGGCUGGGCACCGAGCGCUGCAAGAAGGAGAUAAGCUCCGUGAGAAAAAUCUCCAGGACUGCGCACGGGUACCAGGGAAGAAGAAGCAGCUGGGCUGCGCGCGGUUCUUAUCCAGGGCGAGGGCGGCGGCUAAAAAUCUGCUGGGGACGGCGGCGCGAGUCCGGCAAGCGCUGGACGGACGUACAGGCGAUAAGGAUCACGAGCACGAGCUGGGAUUGGGAUGGAGCACAGUGGAACAGGGGACAUGCGUGGAGUCUUCUGAAGAGGGAAGAUAUUUUCCUUUUCUCAUCCAUUUCUUUGAACUAAAGAAUUUACAUUUAUUCAUUUCUUAAGAUUUUAGAUAUGGACGACGCAGGCGUUGGAAUGAAGCUAGAAUAUCUCCCAUUUAUUAAAGAAAACAAAACAUAUUUUUAUACAUAUUUUGAUUUUAAGAUUAAUAUUUGAGAUAUCUAAAUGGAUUGAAC
rnacentral:misc_RNA from 1 species